UAUGGUGGAUAGUCGCGGUUUCUGCUUUGCAGGGAUCGAGGAAAUUCGAGACACGCCCACGGCCGCUUCGGCGGUCGCGGAGUAUGGUGCCUGGCGCAAGCCAGGGCAGGGCGACCUGACGACGGCAAAAGCGUCUCUUCGGAGAGGCAAGUCGCCAUAAAGUGCCACAGAAACGAUGUUCCCCGGCGACGGGGAAGUGCAAGGGUAAACUCCACCAGCGUGCAACCCAAAUAGGCGGCGUUAGCCGCGGGUAGGGGCACCCGCUGCGGCGGGAAGGAAGCCAGGCCGUCAGGAGCAACUUCCUUAGACAAAUGACUAUCCAACGGCGCAAGCCGGGGACAGAAUCUCGAUUACAGCC
rnacentral:RNase_P_RNA from 1 species